GGGCAGGCAUUUUAGAUUUGUAGUGGAGAAAAAGAGUAGUUUUGUGGUUGUGGAUAAGAGGGAAAGAGGCAAUGGAUCUAUGGUAGUAGAGGGUUGGAGGGGCUAUGGCAAGGGGCGGAAGGGGAAGUGUAACCAGGUGGGAUAGGGGUUCCUAAAGGGAAUGAAGAUGUUGGGGAGCUAUAAGAGGGUUGGGUGAGGGAAAUGGUAUAAAAGCCCUUCUUGUGUUUGAUAAAAUACCUGUGUGAAACAUUGCCAUAUUGUUGGGUAUUUUUCUCUUCUCUUCUCUUUUUUUCUUCUCUUCUUAUUCUUGAUAGAAACACUGUUGUGCUUUCGAUUAUUGGACUGAGUUGCUUAUGGUCAUUGAGAUUUUCCGAGUCAAAGUUGCCACAAGAUGAAGGUUUGUCUUUGAAGGAAUUGAUGAAGGAUUCUUGAAUGGAGCUCUACACCAUGCAUUUUCUCACUAUCAAGAGAGUAAGUACAGCAGAGUUUUCAUACCUUGCAUUUCCCAUCUUGCGUUUAUUAAAAUUUCAAGAAAUUCCAUAAUUUUGCUACACUAUCAUUUACAUCCUUGCCACUAAAUUCAAAGGUUUUUUUUCUUCUCUAAAUCUUACUCAGUAAUUACCACCAAUUUUUCAUCAUGUACCUAUCAUAUCCAAUAACUAUUACAAUAAUUUUGUACCUUCAUCAAACUAUAAAUGGCUAAUCAGUUUACUCAAUCAUCAAACUAUUCAAAAAUUCAGAACACCACUCACACCACUUGUCCUAUAUAUAAAGUAUACAAGUUGUUUAGUGUGAAUUAUUUGUCACACUCUUUGCAUUAACUGAUUCAAUAUUUUAAAACUCAACAACCCUUAUUUCAUAUUUUUUAUUCGUAAAUUACAAAUAGUGUGUAUAUAUAUGUAUGUAUAUAUGUGCUAUUUGUAAUCAACUUUUUGGAAGUUAAGUGGAAGAUAAUGGACUAGCAUUGCAAUUUAGGGAAGAUAAGAAAACUGUUGAAGCAUUUCAUUAACAUGUUGUGUGCAUGAGACUUGUUUGGACAAAUUAAGGGGGGCUAGCAAAAACAUGCCUUUGGACUUUGCAAUUAGUUUUAGAUAACACACAAAGUGAUAAAAAAAAAUAAAAAAUAAAAAACUAAAUACACGAGUUAUAAAUGUUUCAUAACACAAUAUCGAUGCACAUGCUCUUUCAUGCACGUUUUGAGUUUUGGUUUUGCUAAUGCUGUCAUUCUUGGUGUGAUGUUUCUUAACAUCGUAUGUUUCUCUCUUGUUUUUUAGUUUUUCAUUUGUUGAAUUGUGUUUUGUUGGUAUAACAAAACAACUAUCCAACACCUUUGAUUAUAAAAAAAAAAAAAAUUUAAUGAGUGGGAAGUCGUGUAUUUAUGUUGACAGAUUUGAUGAUGCAGUGGCAGCGGCUCAAAGAGCAGCACGGCUAGACUUAAGUAGCAAGGAAGUGAACAUGGUGGUUAGGAGGACACGGGCGGUGGCAAUGGCUCGAUCUAACGAGCCACUUACAGGUCCAAACUUGGUCAAUUUGAGAAAGCAAUCAAGGACUGGACUGCUGCCCUUAAUGUGCGCCCACCUUACAGGAAAGCCAGAUUAAGAAGAGUCAAUUGAUAUGCCAAGGUUAUGGCAAGCAAGACAAAGAUCUACAUUGUGCUCGUGUAUGUUGGCGAGGGCGAGUUUUUUGACAAAAUAAUAAGGCAUUGUUUUUUGAGCUUCUACUCUCUGAGCACCUAUAAUUUCAUUCAUAAUAUAAUCAAUUGUGUAAUGCAUUAUAUCUUAAUUUAGGCAUUUGCUCAUGUCAUGCUUACCAUUUUGUUGUGGUAAUGUGUGUUCUAUUGAGGCUCAUUUAUGUAAAUCAUGUGGGUACCGAGUCUUGUAUUUGUCUGAUAAUAUUCCCUUAUUGACCCUUUUAUAACUAGGCCAAACUAGGAAGACUUAAAUAGGAUGAAACUAGGAGAUAUUUUCAGCAGCUCAUCAAUGCUGUAGACUACUGCCACAGUAGAGGCAUGUACCAUAGAGACUUAAAGCCCGAGAAUCUGCUUCUAGACUCAUUUGGUGUUCUCAAGGUUUCAGACUUUGGAUUGAGUGCAUUUUCCCAGCAAGUGCGGGAAGACGUGUUGUUUCACACUGCCUGCGGAACCCCAAAUUAUGUUGCUCCUGAGGUAUCAAUUAUGAUGUCAUGGAAAUGGAUGGUCACUUUGAUGCAAAAUUUUUUCCUUUUCUUAUUAGUUUCUUGCAUUUGUGAUACUUCUUUCUUUCUUUUUUUUCCCCCUUUCUAUCAAGUGCUCACCGAUAAAGGUUAUGAUGGUACAGCAGCUGAUAUAUGGUCUUGUGGGGUCAUUCUGUUUGUUCUUAUGGCUGGAUACUUACCUUUUGACGAGCCGAACCACAUGGCUUUGAAAGAAUUCAAAAACUUAGUUUUUUUAAGCUUUUAUAAUUUUUUAAUAUGUGUAAUUACUGUUAAUUUUUUUUAUUAAUUUCUUUGUAUAUGUUUUUGAACAUUUAACUUUCAUUUAUGAAAUAAAUGACGUUAUU